GCUAUCUCUAUAUUCUCUCCUAUUCCAAGCAGGAACUUUACAAGGCUUGCACAUACGUGAUCAAAAGUUCACUUCCAAUCGACACGGAAGCAUGUAAACAGUGCCUUGAAGAAAGCAGGUCUUGAUGUUUCGUCAUCAAGUAACCUUGUUCCUACGUUUCAUGUCAUAAUGGCAAAUCCAAGCCAAAAGAAGAGCUGCCCCUAGGGGGGAAUCAUCAGUAAAGCUACUAUCAAGGAAGCACGCACUAGCUAGCUGAACUUUUCUAAGCUACCGCAGAUGUGACAAACGCUAAAGAAAUCAAAGGUGAGACUGACUUACUUCCUGAGCAAGUUAUUGGAAUUUUUUUUUGUAAACAGAGGAGGGCAUUGUUUAGACACCUUAAAGCUUCUUUAAGAUUCAUUCUUUUCAUCUCAGAGUUGAUGUUUUGUUACCCAUCUCAUCAGCUUCUCAGUUUUUACCGUGUCAAGAUGGAGCAAUAUCCUUUUUCUUUCUGUCACUAAAUAUCAUAAUUCAUAUCGAAGUCGAGCUCUUUCUUUAAUUGUGUGAGCUAUUAUUAUUUUAAAACAGUGUGAGCUAAUUUUAAUUUUCAACAAUGCUAUCCUUAUGCA